rnacentral:rRNA from 1 species
CUUUCCCUCUUUCUUCCUGCUUUACACAUGCAAGUCGAACGGUAACAGGCCGCAAGGUGCUGACGAGUGGCGAACGGGUGAGUAAUUCAUCGGAACGUGCCCAGGCGUGGGGGAUAACUACUCGAAAGAGUAGCUAAUAACGCAUACGAUCUAUGGAUGAAAGCGGGGGACCGUAAGGACUCGCGCGAUUGGAGCGGCCGAUGUCAGAUUAGGUAGUUGGUGGGGUAAAGGCUCACCAAGCCAACGAUCUGUAGCUGGUCUGAGAGGACGACCAGCCACACUGGGACUGAGACACGGCCCAGACUCCUACGGGAGGCAGCAGUGGGGAAUUUUGGACAAUGGGCGCAAGCCUGAUCCAGCAAUGCCGCGUGCAGGAAGAAGGCCUUCGGGUUGUAAACUGCUUUUGUACGGAACGAAACGGCUCUGGUUAAUACCCGGGGCUAAUGACGGUACCGUAAGAAUAAGCACCGGCUAACUACGUG